AAGAAAAUUAUACAGGCCUCAGGUGCACAGUUCUAGACACAUCAUCUGGCUCUGGCUGGUUUGACUCAGUGGAUAGAGCGUCAGCCUGCGGACUGAAGGGUCCCGGGUUUGAUUUCCGGUCAGGGCACAUGCCUGGAUUGCAGGCUCGAUCCCCAGUAGGGGGCGUGCAGGAGGCAGCCGGUCCAUGAUUCUCUCUCAUCAUUGAUGUUUCUAUCUCCCUCUCCCUCUCUGAAAUCAAUAAAAAUAAAUUUUAAAAAUAUUUAAACCCAUCAUCUGUACGUUGUACUGUGUGUCCCUACCCCAACUCGAGUCUCCGUGCAUCACCCUUUAUCGCCCCUAUACCCUCCCCCCUCCCAAUCUCUACGUGAAUAUUUGGAAUAAAAGUACCUGGACGGGAGACGUUCACAAUACGGUUGUAUUUACUCAGAAUCUCAUACGCUGUCCGUUUCAGGCAGCACAGACUGUGGUCUGUCUGGGUCACACGCCCCGGGAGGCAGCAGUGGCCUCCUGGGCGUCGGGGGUGGCAUCACGGGGCGGCUGCAUUGUUUCAAGCGACUUCUGGUCCUUAAAGACAUUGCCAGCAUGACUACGCCAGCGGUGACCACGCCAGCAGUGACCACGCCAGCAGUGACCACACCAGCAUGACCACGCCGCUGAGUCCAGGACUCGGAGUGAGUUCCGUCAGCGAUCGCGCCCUAAACCUUCUCCUCUCGCAUCUGAAAGGCACUGAUUUUUCUUGUGUGCUCUCUUCACCCUUAUUGGUGAGAGAUGGUGGACCGA